rnacentral:rRNA from 1 species
GGAGUCUGGGCCGUAUCUCAGUCCCAAUGUGGCCGUUCAACCUCUCAGUCCGGCUACUGAUCGUCGCCUUGGUGGGCCGUUACCCCGCCAACUAGCUAAUCAGAUAUGAGCCCAUCUUUCAGCGGAUUGCUCCUUUGGUACAGUGGGGAUGUCCCCUCCGUACAUUAUGCGGUAUUAGCAGUCGUUUCCAACUGUUGUCCCCCUCUGAAAGGCAGGUUGCUCAUACAUUACUCACCCGUCCGCCACUAAGUCAUAACCGGCUUCGACGAAUCUCCGUCAGUUAUGCUUCGUUCGACUUGCAUGUGUUAGGCACGCCGCCAGCGUUCAUC